GAUGAACGCUGGCGGCGUGCCUAAUACAUGCAAGUCGAGCGAGCAGACGAGGAUCUUGCGCCUCUGACGUUAUCGGCGGACGGGUGAUUCACACGUGGAUAACCUACCUAUAAGACUGGGAUAACUUCGGGAAACCGGAGCUAAUACCGGAUAAUAUAUUGAACCACAUUGUUCAAUAGUGAAAGACGGUUUUGCUGUGACUUAUAGAUUGAUCCGCGCCGCAUGAGCUAGUUGGUAAGGUAACGGCUUACCAAGGCGACGAUGCGUAUCCGACCUCAGAGGGUGGACGGCCACACUGGAAGUGAGACACGGUCGCGACUCCGGCGGGAGGCAGCAGUAGAGAAUCUUCCGCAAUGGGCGAAAGCCUGACGGAGCAACGCCGCGUGAGUGAUGAAGGUCUUCGGAUCGGAAAGCUAUGAUAGUAGGGAAGAACAAAAGUGUAAGCAGCUAUGCACGUAUUGACGGUACCUAAUCAAGAAGCCACGGCUAACUACGUG
rnacentral:rRNA from 1 species